AAAGCAAUUUUAUUUCGCACUCACCGUUUUUCAACUUUGCGUCAGAACAACCUCUACUCAGUCCUCUCCAAGUACUAGUAACAGCUACUUCACUCAGUUUUUCUCCAAUUCUAGGGUUUUUCCAGCUUCACCAUGUCUUCUCCAACUCUCGACGACCAGGAAUUUGAUUUCGGAGAACGAGUUACCGGAACGCGUUCAGAUACUGUAAGUCAUAAGAGGUCUUCUGCUGAAUUUGAUGAUGGAAAUUUUGAUAAUGAUCCUUACGGAAAGAAGGCCAAAACGACAGCUGAAGUAGAAGCUGCUUCUGGUGUUACAACCGGAAUGAUUUUGUCUCUUCGCGAGAGUCUUCAAGACUGUAAGGAAACACUUGAUUCGUGCUUGAAUGAACUUGAGGAUGCACAAUACGAGAUUCAGAAUUGGCGCUCUGCAUUUCAAAAUGCACCAUUCAUACCUGCUGGGACCGCACCAGUACCCAAAUUGGUGAUUAAUUACCUUCAAGCACUGAAAUCAUCAGUAGAGUCCUUAGCGGAUCAGCUUGAAAAGGCAAAGAAAAAGGAAGUUGCAUUCAUUGUGACAUUUGCUAAACGUGAGCAAGAGAUAGCAAAGCUGAAGUCUGCUGUACGAGACCUCAAAGCUCAACUCAAGCCAACAUCAAUGCAGGCAAGAAGGUUCUUAUUAGAUCCAGUAAUCCAUGAAGAGUUCACGCGGUUAAAGAAUUUAGUUGCGGAAAAGGACACAAGACUAAAGGAGUUGCAAGAUCAAAUGUCUGCUGUAAAAUUUACUUCCCAAAGCAAGAUGGGGAAGUUGCUAAUGGCUAAAUGUAAAACUCUGCAAGAGGAAAAUGAAGAGAUCGGGCUUCAAGCUUCUGAGGGAAAGAUGCAUGAAUUAGCAAUGAAACUUUCAUUGCAGAAAGAUCAAAAUUCAGAGCUCAGAAAUCAAUUUGAAGAGUUGCAGAAGCAUAUGGAUGGAUUGACCAAUGAUGUGGAAAGAUCUAAUGAAACGGAAACCAUUUAAGGACCUCAACAAAACUUCUGUCUUGGGGAAAUGCUUAUAUUGGUCACAAAUGCUAAUAUGAAAUAGGUUUUCAUGCUGCAAGGUAAAGUAGAUGAGAAGGAUCUAGAGAUUGAAAGACUGAAAGAUGAGUUGCAACAAAAAAAGCUCCGCAGAGAACAGGAGAGCAAUGCCGGGGAUUGACGAGAUGAUACUGCAGAAGAUUUCAAACAGAUAUCAGUUUCAUUGGACUUCAAUUUUUUGUUGGAAAUGGUUAAAUUACUUCUGUGGUUUUUACUGAAGUUCAUAACUGUAUAUUGUAUUCAAGUUGUUCGUUCGAAUUUUUCUUGGAAAUGUGCAACUGUGAUUUACUACUGCUCGGUGGUCCAUAAGAAUUACAACUAUCAUAUUAACCA